rnacentral:rRNA from 1 species
AGAUUGAACGCUGGCGGCAUGCCUUACACAUGCAAGUCGAACGGCAGCGCGGGGCAACCUGGCGGCGAGUGGCGAACGGGUGAGUAAUGUAUCGGAACGUACCCUGGAGUGGGGGAUAACGUAGCGAAAGUUACGCUAAUACCGCAUACGAUCUAAGGAUGAAAGUGGGGGAUGCGCAAGCACCUCAUGCUCCUGGAGCGGCCGAUAUCUGAUUAGCUAGUUGGUGGGUAAAGGCCUACCAAGGCAUCGAUCAGUAGCUGGUCUGAGAGGACGACCAGCCACACUGGAACUGAGACACGGUCCAGACUCCUACGGGAGCAGCAGGUGGGGAAUUUUGGACAAGUGGGCGAAAGCCUGAUCCAGCAAUGCCGCGUGAGUGAAGAGCGUUCGGUGUAAGCUCUUUGCGUAGGAAGAACGGUGAGGUACUAAUACUCCUUGACUAA